UACAGAGGGGGCAAGCGUUAUUCGGAAUUAUUGGGCGUAAAGGGCGCGUAGGCGGCCUGGCAAGUGGAAGGUGAAAUCCCUCGGCUUAACCGAGGAACUGCCCUCCAAACUGCUUGGCUUGAGUCCGGGAGAGGUGAGUGGAAUUCCCAGUGUAGCGGUGAAAUGCGUAGAUAUUGGGAGGAACACCAGUGGCGAAGGCGGCUGCCUGGCCCAAUACUGACACUCAGGUGCGACAGCGUGGGGAGCAAACAGG
rnacentral:rRNA from 1 species